ensembl:lncRNA
UCAAAACAAACAGCUUUUUAUUCUUCAGCACAGGCUGACUACAGAGAAGGGCUGCACAAUACGAGUAAACAAAACUGUUUUUUACAAAAUAUUGUAAUUGUGAUUCUUUGUGCAAUUAUAGAUCAAAACACUGAAAUAAAAAAUAUAGUUACUUAUUGAAAAGCAAAAUAGCAAGCAGCGUUGUUCUCGUUAGGAACUUUCUGACUGUAUUUGACCUAACAGAACAAUAAGCAAAUAGUGACUGCAAGGAGGGAGUCCUCUGCUUAAAGAUGCAGUCUAGGACUUUUGCAAUUAACAACUUUUUAAAACUUCCCACUUUAGGCUGGAUGUGUAAUAUGUUAAGUAGAAUCACAGUCAUAUCUCAGUUAGACACAAACGUCAAAGUUUGGGAGUGAUUUUGAUGACAUGGGGCAAAUUUGGUACAUAAAUUACAUCUCAUAGUUUUCAGGCGAAUCAACUUAUAAGUAUUUGUGGCUCCACAGUUCCACUUUUACAACCACAGGCCAAGAAUCCCAGAAUGCAGCUCAAAGUGACUGGAAUCAGCCACAAGUGGGGGGGGGGUUGUCACUGCUAUUUCACUUUAUGGAGGUGUGUUUAAAAAGAAAUAACAGUGUGCUCUUGUAUUAUGAAUAAUGUCAAUAUUAAAGUUCAACAUUUCAUUAUUAUGCAGUCCCACUAGAGUGGUGUAGAUCCCACAGUAAAAUAUUAACAUUCUCAAUCAAAGCCUUUCCAGAAAAAUAGAAUAUAAAAUAUUACAGAGAUUUGUGUAAUAUCCCUGGGUGUGGGGUCUGGCAAUAUGAGACCUGUGAAGAUACAGUAUAGUAGUAUAACAUGUACAUGUCAAUGGUAGAUGUCCUAGUGAAGGUCAAGGGUCAUCUUUGGAUGAGUUUCCUUCUUGAGCUGACUCUGGUCCACAGGUUGCGUGCUGUCCGGGCAAUAGCUGAGCCACUGGGUAGGCGCAGGCUCUUCAGAGGCUCUCUGAUACAUGCCAUCACCCCUGGGUCGGGGCACCCCUGCUGCUGCAGGUACUCAUGGGAAAUGUAGUUGAUCCGCCUCAGUUGAUUGCUAUAAUAAUUUCUCAGGUCACAGAGCUCUUCCACUGCAGCCUCAGAGAUGAUGGAGACCUGGGAGGGAGAACUGACCAACGCUGGACUCUGGGGGUUGGAGUCUGUAGACUCUGAGGGAGCUUGUACAGCAAUAAUGGUGCAAGGUUUCCUCCGCUUCUUUUGAGGAGUGGUCGAUUUACGUUUUGAAUUGGGUUUCAAUCGCGGUAGUGGGGAUUCACUGUUAUAAACUUUCUCUGUGACAUUGAUCUCUACAUCUACUUCAAUGGCAACGGGCUGUGCAGAAGCAGGGUUGCUCUGGUCUUCCCCUUUUUGGCCACAGUCCGUAUCUCGUUUUCUGGCCAGAUUCUGCUGUUCUUUGUCUGUCUUUAUCAGUCUUCUGUGUCUGGAAGGGGGACUGCUGCUGUCGUCAGGGGAAAUGGGAGGAAGGAACUUGGAGGUCACCAACACCUCCACAGGUCCAGCAGCUGAUUGGUC